AUGCAUUGAUAUCGUGAUGAGAUGCCUUGCAUGCUUAUGGAGAGAGUUCUUCAUGAGUAUGCGGUGGUUGCCGCGACCCUCGAUUCAAUAAUCUCGGGUCGGGGGCGUGACACUCUCCCUCAGCCUGCGAAGUUCGUCCUCCAUCUCCCUCGAUUUUUUUGUUAAAUGACGGACUUUCUUCCUCAGAUGUUGGAUCGUGGACCUCAACGGAACUCUCUGUGGCAAGGGAAGUGCUUCGGCAGGACACUACCAUCGGAAGACAAAAGCAUCAAGGCGCGGCUCAUUGCAGAAAGAAAAAAGAAAAGAGAAGAGAAGUUCCCCAUAAGGAGGAGCCCAAUUUUAUUGAUUGAAUAUCUCUUAAAGACAAAAAAAAAAAUCGCAGUGAAAGAAAAAUACAAAGUCAGAGGUCUCAGACCUCCGAAGCAGGAGUUGGGGAGCCCGAUGUUCUUGGAAGGGG
rnacentral:lncRNA from 1 species